AACACACACACACACACACACACACACACACACACACACACACACACCAGCUAUCCUAGGAGUGGCUUUGGGUGCAACGGUGUUAUUAUGGUUCAUUGCCAAACGGACUCUGAGGCCCAAGACCUAGACAGACCCUAAUCUCCCUAGUCUAGGGAGCCAGGUGGAGGUGAUACAAUCUGUGUGCGGAGGAGGUCAGGGCACAGGAAUCCGGCCCCAUCCAUCUUUUAUACCUUACGUAUUCACAAUGUCUGCUUAAUCUUGUCCCUCUCGAUUAAGCGGGAGUGGGGAUCAGGAGAUUGCUUUCCUCACGAUUCCAGUCCCAAUCAGAGCAAAGGGCACAGGCAACAUCUACCCUCCUUCCUGACUGGAUGGCUAGGUUGUGUAUUUUCAUACGUUUUCUGGGUCUUUGUCUAAACCGGUUACUAGCGUAGUGAAACACACCGCAAGCACUUACUUGUACACUUAGCCCAUCGGUUUCAUUAACCAAUGAGGUGUUGCUGUGAGGGCUUAGGUGUGAGGGCUUCAGGAUUACCAGUACCUACCCGGGCAUUCCUGGGAGUUCCAGCAGUGAGGUCCUCCCGGGGUUACAGUUCUGGGCUCCUCAGGGGCCCUCCCCGGGACACCGUCCAGAUGAAGAACCUGUUCAGGCGGAGCAAAGAAUUAGCAAACAGCACUUGUACUUACUACCUCCAUUCUUUGACAGGAUUCUGAUCUUCACGGAAAUAAAUCUGGCAUCUGCUUUUGGAUGUUUUUCCAGAAAUACAUUUUACCUUUGUGAGAUUCUGUAGCUGUCACUGAGACUUAAGAAAGAAACACGAGGACCCAACAGCAAAGCCGAAUCUAAGUUGUCGGGGUCUUAAACUUACAGAUGAAUUCCCGGCAAAUCCCAUUCCAGAUGACGUCUCAUAGGACAUUAAAAAAACCAUCAAAAACAGUGAACUCUGUGCAGACGGGGCCCAAAUGAUGCUUUGGAACAGGAACUGACACCAUCGUUGUGAACAAUGUGCCAGGCACUAUACAAAGCAUGGUGAAGCUUGGGCUCCGCACUCAUGAUCCCUUUACCAUAUGCCUCUGAAGCACUGCCAUCAAUUCUUUGGAUGGCAAAACUGACUGCAUGACAACACCGACGUGAACCCAGGGAAUUAAAUGUAAUAAAAUGAAGGACACCAGGACAAAUAUUGCUCCGCCAAUGCCAGCAGUGUUUACAUCAGCAUCAAUGGUGAUGCAACAUCUCCUGGAAGGAUCCAACGCAGGAAGAUAAGGGAGAAGAGGGAGGAAAAAACAGGAGAGGAAGAACAGAGAAGAUAAACAAGAAGAGGAGGGAAAACAUUUCAGGGAAAAAAACAUUCCAGAGGGAGGGGUAGAGCCCAGGGCACAUGGUACAAGCCCAAUCAACAUUUGCUGAACCAACAGAGCAGACAGGAUGGACCUAUAGUUAGUGCUUCAUGACCGUCCUUCCUGAUGACUUAAAUAAAUGGUGCUAAAGCUGUGCCAGAAAUGGGACCUCCAAGGAAGUUCAGCACAAAAACCUGGAUAAGUGUGACUUUCUCAGGUCUGUUUUAAAGGAAUAUAGAAAGGUACGUGAUUAAAAAGGCACAUUCUCUAUACCCUACUUCCCCCUCAACCCUCUCAGGAGGGAUCCCGACUGUGUCCCCCCCAAGAA